rnacentral:rRNA from 1 species
AUUGAACGCUGGCGGCAGGCCUAACACAUGCAAGUCGAGCGGAUGAAGGGAGCUUGCUCCUGGAUUCAGCGGCGGACGGGUGAGUAAUGCCUAGGAAUCUGCCUGGUAGUGGGGGAUAACGUCCGGAAACGGGCGCUAAUACCGCAUACGUCCUGAGGGAGAAAGUGGGGGAUCUUCGGACCUCACGCUAUCAGAUGAGCCUAGGUCGGAUUAGCUAGUUGGUGGGGUAAAGGCCUACCAAGGCGACGAUCCGUAACUGGACUGAGAGGAUGAUCAGUCACACUGGAACUGAGACACGGUCCAGACUCCUACGGGAGGCAGCAGUGGGGAAUAUUGGACAAUGGGCGAAAGCCUGAUCCAGCCAUGCCGCGUGUGUGAAGAAGGUCUUCGGAUUGUAAAGCACUUUAAGUUGGGAGGAAGGGCAGUAAGUUAAUACCUUGCUGUUUUGACGUUACCAACAGGAUAAGCACCGGCUAACUUCGUG